GACGAACGCUGGCGGCGUGCUUAACACAUGCAAGUCGAACGAAGUGGCGAACGGGUGAGUAAGACGUGAGUAACCUGCCCUCCUUUUUGGGAUAAGCCUUGGAAACGGGGUCUAAUACCGAAUAAAGGGGGAUGGGCUCGCGGCCUAUCAGCUUGUUGGUGGGGUGAUGGCCUACCAAGGCGGUGACGGGUAGCCGGCCUGAGAGGGUGACCGGCCACAUUGGGACUGGGAUAGGGCCCAGAGUGAUGCAGGAGGGGGCAAUGGGGGAUAUUGGACGAUAGGCGGAAGCCUGAUGCAGCGGCGCCGCGUGAGGGAUGAAGGCUUUCAGGUUGUAAACCUCUUUCGCUAUCGAAGGGGUAGGUGGAGAAGAAGCGCCGGCUAACUACGUGCCAGCAGCCGCGGUAAUUC
rnacentral:rRNA from 1 species